rnacentral:rRNA from 1 species
UUGAACGCUGGCGGCAGGCCUAACACAUGCAAGUCGAACGGUAACAGGAAGCAGCUUGCUGCUUUGCUGACGAGUGGCGGACGGGUGAGUAAUGUCUGGGAAACUGCCUGAUGGAGGGGGAUAACUACUGGAAACGGUAGCUAAUACCGCAUAACGUCGCAAGACCAAAGAGGGGGACCUUCGGGCCUCUUGCCAUCGGAUGUGCCCAGAUGGGAUUAGCUUGUUGGUGGGGUAACGGCUCACCAAGGCGACGAUCCCUAGCUGGUCUGAGAGGAUGACCAGCCACACUGGAACUGAGACACGGUCCAGACUCCUACGGGAGGCAGCAGUGGGGAAUAUUGCACAAUGGGCGCAAGCCUGAUGCAGCCAUGCCGCGUGUAUGAAGAAGGCCUUCGGGUUGUAAAGUACUUUCAGCGGGGAGGAAGGGAGUAAAGUUAAUACCUUUACUCAUUGACGUUACCCGCAGAAGAAGCACCGGCUAACUCCGUGCCAGCAGCCGCGGUAAUACGGAGGGUGCAAGCGUUAAUCGGAAUUACUGGGCGUAAAGCGCACGCAGGCGGUUUGUUAAGUCAGAUGUGAAAUCCCCGGGCUCAACCUGGGAACUGCAUCUGAUACUGGCAAGCUUGAGUCUCGUAGAGGGGGGUAGAAUUCCAGGUGUAGCGGUGAAAUGCGUAGAGAUCUGGAGGAAUACCGGUGGCGAAGGCGGCCCCCUGGACGAAGACUGACGCUCAGGUGCGAAAGCGUGGGGAGCAAACAGGAUUAGAUACCCUGGUAGUCCACGCCGUAAACGAUGUCGACUUGGAGGUUGUGCCCUUGAGGCGUGGCUUCCGGAGCUAACGCGUUAAGUCGACCGCCUGGGGAGUACGGCCGCAAGGUUAAAACUCAAAUGAAUUGACGGGGGCCCGCACAAGCGGUGGAGCAUGUGGUUUAAUUCGAUGCAACGCGAAGAACCUUACCUGGUCUUGACAUCCACAGAACUUUCCAGAGAUGGAUUGGUGCCUUCGGGAACUGUGAGACAGGUGCUGCAUGGCUGUCGUCAGCUCGUGUUGUGAAAUGUUGGGUUAAGUCCCGCAACGAGCGCAACCCUUAUCCUUUGUUGCCAGCGGUCCGGCCGGGAACUCAAAGGAGACUGCCAGUGAUAAACUGGAGGAAGGUGGGGAUGACGUCAAAUCAUCAUGCCCCUUAUGACCUGGGCUACACACGUGCUACAAUGGCGCAUACAAAGAGAAGCGACCUCGCGAGAGCAAGCGGACCUCAUAAAGUGCGUCGUAGUCCGGAUUGGAGUCUGCAACUCGACUCCAUGAAGUCGGAAUCGCUAGUAAUCGUGGAUCAGAAUGCCACGGUGAAUACGUUCCCGGGCCUUGUACACACCGCCCGUCACACCAUGGGAGUGGGUUGCAAAAGAAGUAGGUAGCUUAACCUUCGGGAGGGCGCUUACCACUUUGUGAUUCAUGACUGGGGUG